GGAGCAACUUCACCGAAGCGGCGUCGGGACAUGACUAUGCGUGAUGAAUGAACUCUGAAUUCCCCACUUAUCUCUCUGAACUCUCGCCCCCUUCGUCUGAUUCUCACCUCAAUUUCCCCUUAACCUGUGCGAUCCCCUUCCUCUCUAGGUCCGGGGUCGUCACAGAAUAGCAGCCGCGGUGGUCCGGCGGGGUGAUCUCCGGCGUGCAACACCGUUUGAUUUUGAUCAGGCGCGCCUGAUAAGUUGGGAGCGGGGGGUAUGUGAAGAGCAGAGGCGCAUCCUCUCCUCGUUUCAAUCCUCGCUCGGGUUCUCUCUUCAUCCGUGAUCCCUUCUUCUUCGUAAGGCUCUUCUUCUCAGGGCCGAUAUCUGCAACAUGAGUACACCAUUGAACAUUGCAAAGUCAGGGCACCCCAAACUAAAGAAGUUGAGGCAAUGGCUAGCGAUGAAUGCAAAGGAUGAUGUUAAGGGGAAGGUUUGUGUUGAUGAGCCUGCUGAACUACCAAAAGUUGGCAGGAGGUAUGAGUUCAAUCGUUCAUCCCCAAUGAAACUUGUUAGAUUGUCUAAAUCAUUUAACAACGAUCAGAAGGAAUUAAUAAGCAAAUCUGGUUUUGGAAGUUUUGUUUCUGCAAACAUUUCCGAGUUACACCCAGAGGUGUGCAAAUACUUGAUGGAUUCCUUCAAUCCGGAUUCCUGCGAGCUUGGGUUCAAUGAUCGCGGAAGCUUACCCAUCAAGGAGGAGGCGGUUCACAGAGUUCUUGAGGUUCCAAUGGGGAAGAAUGCAGUCAAGUACUACAUUGACACGGAAGUGAGCAAAGUGGUGUUUGACAUGCUGCAAAUAAAAGAUGGGAAACCCCGAAGCUUUCAAAUUUGGAGAAGAAGUUGUCCAGCAUGCAAUCUGCUGAUGAAUCUUUCAUGAGGCUGUGGUUGUUGUAUGCGAUGUGUUCUGUGAUGGCUCCAACCACAGGGACAAUGGUCAGCCCAAGGUGCUACCCGGCAAUACUGGAUAUUGAAGGGAUACGUGAUCUGAAUUGGUGCCUAUUUAUUGUGGAUGUGCUAAUAAAGACAGCGAGAGCAAAGGAUAAGAACAUGUUCGAGGCAUCUAUGCCUUUCCUUAUGAUUUUCUACGUCGACUCGCUUGACUUUAAAUCAGAGGAACUUAAAAAGAAGGGGCCCUGAAUAUGUGUUUGGUCCGACAAAUUGGUCCGGAUGGCAGUGAAUUUAGACAAGGACAGUGAUGGUAGCUUUGGGAUGUUACCGUUGAAGAAAAUAUACCGAAGCCAGUGUUCACUAUUUUGCAACACCACAUCAAAAGUUGACUCUUUCAUCAAGUUUCAUGCUGGAGGCAAUUUGGGAGAGCAAGAUAUAUCAACGUACAGAUCCACCGUCACCGCUGUCAUUGGUAUGUGCAAGGAUUUUGAGUUCGAGCUGGGACAAUUUAUCAAGAAAUGGUCCAGCGGCAAGGAAGAUGGAGAGCCUUCAAAUCAGCACGGAGCAGCAAGAUCUGAAAAGAGGAAAAGGGAAGGUUUAUCUGAUAGAACUGAUGUUCAUGUUGAGCCGAAAGAGUUUAAAGAGAUCACGCAGCAGCAAAAGAAUCCUCACGAUGCCGACAGUUCUGACUUUGAAGAAGGGAAAUUACAGAGGAGGUGCCGGAAGCGCAGAAUCGUGGUGCCUGAUGUUGCAGACUGUGGGCAUUUGUUGCCAUCUAUGCUUCUUUAGGGGGUUUGAGCAGCAGUAAAUGCCAAAAUCCAUCAUAUAUAGCAACUUCUGACAAGAGUUUAGCUGCAAGUUGCAUAUCCAUCAAGCAACUAUUUUCAACAUGCAACUAUAUCCAUAUCAAGCAACUUCUAAUAUGGGAAGGAACCAUCUAUGAGUUACUUUUCUUUUGGAGCUUUUAUCAAGCAAUUAGUGGAAUGUACGACAAACAAGAGGGCAAAUCUUGUCAGAUUAGGAAGCAAAAAACAGGGGGUGGAAACUGACAUACUGAAGCAAAAAAACAGGAACUGCUGUUUUUCAGGGGAUGCAGCAUGAAUGACAGUCCAAAGUUGCCUUUUUACAUGUUUUUUAUGUGUUUCUGUUGAUGAAAACUGGUUUCUGGAGGCAUGCCCAGUUGUUUUCCUUACCCAAAUUUCAAUUAUGGAAUGAGGCUCAUGGAUACAUGCAAUAAAUUAGCAAAAACAGAAGGGGAUAUGAUGCCGUGUCAGGCUUUUAUGAAGCAAAUUUAGAGGGGCCAAACCAUAA